rnacentral:rRNA from 1 species
GACGAACGCUUGCGGCGUGCCUAAGAAAUGCAAGUCGAACGAGAGCUUCGGCUCUAGUGGCGAACGGUCGCGUAACACGUGGGCAACCUGCCCUGAAGCGGGGGACAACAGUCCGAAAGGACUGCUAAUACCGCAUAUGGACCCUGACGGCAUCGUCAGUGUCUAAAGGCUUCGGCCACUUCAGGAUGGGCUCGCGGCCUAUCAGCUUGUUGGUGGGGUAACGGCCUACCAAGGCUACGACUGGUAGCUGGUCUGAGAGGACGGCCAGCCGGAUUGG